UGCUGCACAAUCAUGAUAUACAUAAUCAAUGUUGGGACCUCUACUAUCCCUAGGUUCAUGUCAAGUUUACUACACUAGACUCAAUGCCACUCGUUCGAUCAUUGUAGUAAGUUUUCUACUAGUUGACAUGCCACUCGUUCAAGUUUAGUGUCUCUAUUACAAUAGUUCAAUACCACUCUACUAGGCUAUGUCCAAGUUCGGCUCUUUAUGCCGCUAUAGGAUUCUAUGUCACAAGACCUAAUCCUCAUGCUAUCCUAGUCCACGUGUCAAGCUCACCCCGCUACACUAUCAAGAAAGCAUGCAAGGAAAUGGAAUGUACAGCUACUAUUCCUAUAGCACAAUAUGAUCAAUAUAAUUAACUUAGACAUAAAAAGAAACCAGGAUGUUUCGGGAUGACACCCCCCACCUUUUGUGUAUACGGAGGCUCUAGAAAUGCUUUUCGGCGUCCUUUACAACGAAGCCUCGGUCUUUUUGGUCCAAAUGAUGCUCAAUCGGCCUUAUUUUGCCAAUAGCUCUUGACCCACAUGACGAAUUGAAAUUUCGACUUCGCCCCCGCGUUUCGUUACCUAGCAAUUAGGUUUUCAUGGUCUCAAAUGAGAUCAAUAUCACACUUUACCAAAAACCCUAUUUUGGUGCCCUAGGGUUAGCAUCAAGCUAAACCCAUCUCAAAACCCUAGAUUCUAGCUCUAAUCCUUCCAUUCAUGGUGCUAGGGAUCCAUUUGAUCCCAUCCAAGGAGCUAAAACCCAAGAACCCUAAAUUUCAUAAGCUAGGGUUAGAAGCUUACCUCUAGGUUAGCUUAAAAGAGAGAAGAGAGGAAGAGGGAGAGGUCUAAAGCCUUCUUUUUCUUGAUCUCCUUCUUCUUCUCCUUCCUUUUCUUCCUUCUUUUCCUUCAUCUUUCUCCUUCUUCUUUUUCUUCCUCUCUUCUUUAGAGAGAAGGAGCAAGAGAGUGUGAGUGAGGGAGAGGGGGAAAUGAUAGGCUGGAGAAGAGAGAGGGACCACAAGCCCUCAUAUUGUAAUAAUAUCCAGCUGGCCCUCUCAACUUUUCACUCUGUGCACUACCCUUAUUGGGCGUUCUGCGCGCGGAGGGACCGGUCUCCCCGACUUGGGACCGGUCCCCGAGAGCUUCUGCUCGGGUCACGUGUUCGGGUACCGGUCUCUCCCAAAUGGACCGGUCCUCGGGAGACCGGUCCUUGCCUGAGAGACCGGUCCCCGAGAGUAAUAUUUUCAGGACUUAGCCAAAUUUCUGGCUUUCUCGUUGGGUUCACGUUCGGGGACCGGUCCCUCCCUGCCAGGGACCGGUCGCCUCAAGCAAUCCCGCAACACCAACCGAUAGGACCGGUCCCUCCCUGCCAGGGAUCGGUCCCCGAGAGCAGUUUUGCUGAAGUGCAGGUUUUGCACUAUUUGCUCCCGUGGACUCGUUUCCAAAGCACUUUUGGUGAUUUUAACACCAUUGGCUUUUCCAAAGCUCACCAACACGACCCUUGGUCGAUUUUGUAUGAAGUCUAACUCUCGUAUUUCGAGAAUUCACUUUCUUAUAUCCUCCCCUCCUAAAAAAGAGUUUCGUCCUUGAAACGAAUUCAAUAAUACAUACCUCAUUGCAUUUCCGUGAACAGAUGAGGAUAAUGCACUUUCAUCGGUUCCUCGAGUUCCCACGUGGCCUUACGAUCGUCGUGUCUUCACAUAGGGAAUCUCACGAUUUCUCAGCUUCUGCACUUCUCGAGCAAUGAUCAUCGCCGGAAACUCUUCAUAGCUCAAAUCUUCUUGUAGAUCCGGCAGUUCAUAAUACAGGACAUGCUCGGGAUCGUGAAUGUACUUGCGAAAGUUGGAGACGUGGAACACGUUAUGCACACCCGCGAGCUUCGACGGUAAUGCAAGUCGGUACGCUACCGCUCUAGCCCGCUCCAACACUUCGAAAGGCCCAAUAUAUCGGAGACUUAGCUUUUCCCGCACUCCGAAGCGAUUCACACCUCUCAUAGGUGAAACCUUCAAGAAAACGCGGUCACCUACCGCGAAUUCCAAGUCUCUACGGCGUUUGUCAGAAUAGCUCUUUUGCCUCGACUGUGCCGUAAGUAGUCUCUCGCGAGCAAGACGGACCUUCUCUUCCGCCUCUCGCAAUACAUCUGGGCCCAAUGCCGCAGGUUCACCUACAUCGCCCCAACAUAUAGGGGAUCGGCACUUUCGCCCGUAUAGGACCUCGAACGAUGCCAUCCCGAUGCUAGCUUGGUAACUGUUGUUGUAGGCGAACUCGGCCAUUCUCAAGUGGUUUGCCCAACUACCCUUGUAGUCAAUGACACACGCCUGCAACAUAUCCUCCAGAAUCUGUAUAGUCCUCUCUGACUGUUCAUCUGUCUGAGGAUGAAACGCGGUGCUGAAAUCGAGCCGUGUGCCAAGUGCUUCUUACAGGUUUUUCCAAAAUUGCGAAGUAAAACGGGGUCUCGAUCUAACACGAUCGACUUGGGAACCCCGUGCAACCUCACAACUUCAUCAAAGUAUACCUGCGCCAACUUAUCGCCCGACCAGGUGGUGUGAAUCGGUAGAAAAUGUGCCGACUUAGUCAUACGAUCCACAAUUACCCAGAUCGCGUCGUGGCCACCCGUCGAACGGGGCAAUCCGACCACGAAGUCCAUCGCGAUAUUCUCCCAUUUCCAAACGGGAAUAGGUAAACUUUGGAGCUUUUCCGCUGAAAAUCGACGCUCAGCCUUCACUUGCUGGCAUACAAGGCACUGCGCUACAUAGCACCCAAUGUCUGCUUUCAUGCUCGGCCACCAGUACCGCAUCUUCAGAUCAAGGUACAUCUUGGUGCCGCCCGGGUGAAUGCUAUAAGGAGUCCGAUGUGCUUCUUGUAAGAUCAAUUUCUGGACCUCCUCGUUUUUCGGCACGCACCAUCGGUUUCGAAACCGAAGCGCACCCUCAGCGUCUGUACUGAAAUCACCGCCAUGUCUACUCUCGAUGUCCCGCCGCACCUUUUGGAGAUUAGGGUCCGCAGAUUGCAAACUCUUAAUCUGCUCAAACAAGGUCGGUUCGACAACGAGAGCCGUAAGCAUGGACGGGAUUUUCGGAGCUACCACCUCGAGAUCCAAUCGUUCCAUCUUUCUCCAUAGUGGCUUUUGACGUGUGACCAAUAUAGCAAGAUUUUUCACUGACUUCCUGCUAAGCACGUCGGCCACCACGUUUGCUUUUUCGGGGUGGUAUAGGAUUGUCACGUCGAAAUCCUUUAGCAAUUCCAACCACCGCUGUUGUCGCAUAUUGAGCUCCUUUUGUGUGAAAAGGUAUUUCAGACUUUUGUAGUCCGUGUAUAUCUCGCAACGCGCGCCAUACAAGUAGUGCCUCCAUAACUUGAGAGCAAAUACUACUAUGGCCAACUCUAAAUCGUGGACAGGAUAGUUCUUCUCAUAGCUCUUCAGCUGACGGGACGCAUAAGCGAUCACCUUCCCGCCCUGCAUUAGAACACUCCCUAAGCCCGAUUGUGACGCGUCGCUAUACACCACGAAGUUUUCAUCUUGCACCAGCAAGGCGAGCACCGGAGUCGAAGUUAAUCUAUCCUUCAACUCUUGGAAACUCCGGUCGCACUCGUCACUCCAAAUGAACUUGGUGCCUUUUCGAGUCAGACGAGUAAGUGGACCCAUGAUCUUCGAGAAUCCCUCCAUGAACCGUCUAUAAUAACCCGCUAAACCCACGAAGCUUCGAACUUCCGUGACGUUAGUCGGGCGAGGCCAAUCCUUGAUCGCCUCCACUUUCCUCGGGUCAACAGAUACUCCUCCUUCGGAAAUGACAUGCCCAAGAAAUGCAACCUCUCGGAGCCAAAAGUCGCAUUUCUUAAACUUAGCAUACAACUUCUCCUCUCGAAGGAUUUGAAGCACAAUUCUCAAAUACUGAGCAUGUUCCUCGUCGCUGCGCGAGUAGACCAAGAUGUCGUCUAUGAAGACAACGACAAAUCGGUCCAAGUACUCUUUGAAGACACGGUUCAUUAAAUCCAUGAACGCUGCCGGGGUAUUAGUGAGCCCAAACGGCAUGACCGUGAAUUCGUAGUGUCCAUACCGCGUGCGAAACGCGGUCUUUUGCACAUCUUCCGGCUUAAUCUUGAGUUGAUGAUAAUCGGACUGUAGAUCAAUCUUUGAAUAACCCGAGACCCUUGCAACUGAUCAAAUAAAUCAUCGAUCCUGGGCAACGGGUACUUAUUCUUGAUUGUGACUUUGUUCAACUCGCGAUAAUCUACGCAGAGUCGAAACGAUCCGCCCUUCUUUCACACGAACAGAACCGGGGCUCCCCAUGGCGACACACUUGGCCGUAUAAAUCCCUUAUUAAGGAGAUCUAUCAACUGGGCCCGUAACUCCUUCAAUUCUGUCGGCGCCAUCCGAUACGGAGCCUUCGAGAUAGGCGUGGUUCCUGGAACCAAGUUUAUCACGAACUCGAUCUUCUGGUUUGGUAGCAUUCCCGGUAACUCCGCGGGAAAAACAUCUGGGAACUCCCGAACUACGGAUAACUCCUCCAGCAUAGGAGUCAUCCUCUUGACUUCCACAACGGUCGCCAAAUAGGCCACGCAACCGCUGUUAAUCAACUUCCUUGCCCCCGUCGCCGACACCAUAGCAGCGAAACGCGAGCUUCUACAGACCCGGUAGGUGAAUUCCUCCUGGCCCGGUUCUCGGAAUGUUAUUACUUUACUUCUGCAAUGAAUAGUCGCAUAGUACUUCGAGAGCCAAUCCAUUCCUAGAAUGACGUCGAAGUCCUUCAACUUCUUGAACAUCAACAUACGGAUGGGCAUUAUCCAAUCGCCCAACCGCACUGGACACGACGAACACUCCAUCCGGACUAGAAAAUCACGUCCGGGGCUCGAUACCCUCCAAGUGCUUUUACUCUCUUGUAGUUCUAUGCCAUGCAUGCGUGCAAACAACCUACUGACGAAUGAAUGUGUAGCACAUGUAUCAAACAUGGCCCUGGAGCGAACUCCGUUAAUUAAAACCAUACCUGCAAGUACAUGGAGAUUCUCCGCCUCAGCAGGUUCCUCGGCUUGAGUUUGGGCGGCGAAUACCCGCCCGCUCAGAGCCGAUCUCAUCGCCUCAGGUUGGCGUGGUACCAUCGCACGUCCAGCCGAUGACGCUGCAGGUGGAACUCCUCCAUAGUGUGCCGGAGUCGACCGAAGGGGCAGGCGAAGCCCUCACUGGACAGUAGCGGCUGAUGUGGCCCGCCUGUCCACAUGUGAAGCACUUUCCUUCCCGUUGAUCACACGUCCUUGGCUCGUGGUUCCCACCGCAAAUUAUGCACCGCUGCGGUCCGCGGCCCUUGGAUUGCGUUCGUGGGUACUUCGGGGGCUUCCUUGACAUGGUUUGAGCUCCCGAGCUACUCUGAGCCCGCUUCUUACCACCGUCCUUCUCGGACGCUUCUCGCUCCUCCCGGAUGUGAGCGUUUCCUUGCUCCGCCCACAAUGCUUUGUCGAGCACUUCCGCGAAGGUAGUGAGCUUCAAUAUGUGCACCGCUCGGUAGAUAUCAGUCCGGAGCCCUCGCUCGAACCAAUCGGCUCGAUCCCUGUCAUCCCGCACUACGUCGGGGACGCAGUCAAUGAUGUGAGAGAACUCCCGCUCAUAUUCCGCCACCGUGCGGUUCCCUUGCUUAAACUUCCGAAAUUGCUCCUAGAGCUUCUUCUUCUCGCUAUCGGGAAAGUAGUUGACGUAGAACAAUCCCCGAAAUUCCUCCCACGUCAACGGCGGAAGGUCGGAAGCUCGGUUUCUCUUGAUUCGCUCCCACCAAACCUUCGUCGUCCGCUCCAAGCAAUGAGUGGCGAGGUAGACUUUGUCCCUCUCCAAGGUGUAGAGGUCCUCGAACAAGGUCUCUAUUGAGUCCACCCACGACUCAACCAUCCAUGGCUCAACCUUCUCUCCCUCAAAGGUCGGUGGAUUGAACCUUCGAAACUUCUCGAGAGCCGCAAGCGCGCGCUCUCUCUCCGCCUCCAAUGUCGUCGCAUCGGGUGUCGUAGAACCCGACGCCGCCGGAGGAACGCUCGCCGGCGGGGGACGCGCCGCCACCGGAAUUGCCGCAAUGCCCUCGCCCGCAGCCGCCGUAGGCGCACGUGUGGAAGGCGGGGGCCGACCACGGCCCUUAGUUACAGCUGCAGUUGCCGCCACAAAAUACCACUCCAUAAGCCCUUGGAGCUGCUCAAAUCGACUCUCCCGGCGCUGUACAAUGCCGGUCAAUGCCAACACCUGCGCCCGUAACUCCCGUACUUCGCUAGAUUCGGCUUCCUCGGGCUCCUAAGAAGACGGUGCCGGAACGGACCUACGUACAUAGCGUCUUGGGGACAUUGUUCCUGCAACGCAACAACCGGGUUAGUCAUCUAACCCACUUAACUCCGUCGCAUACACUAUAUUACGCGACUCAACUCCGCCAUAAGCGGACGUACACCAGUGUAUUAGUUCUAACUCUUAGCGUUGUGUUGUCGGCCGCCAAUACAAACUCCUCGAGCUCAGAAACUAACACCGCUCGGAUCUAUCUCUACCCACAUACUCGAUCCGACCUAAUCGGAUUCUUCCUCUACCGAUAUAGGUUCACAUUUUUCUCACGUACUUAUCACCUUAAGGUUGCCAACCUAGGUCUCCUAGGUCCAUCCUACACUCUCUCUUUACUUGCUCUUAAUUGCUCUGAUACCAAAAAUACUCUGUCAUGCCCCGAAACCGCUACCUAUUUGGUCCGAUUCGGGCGCGUCAAACAGACGCCGAACGAACAGCACCUCUCCUGUCCGCCCAAGGCCAAGCAACCAGAUCAUGUACAAUUAAGCGCCCAGGAAAUGCUUUAAUAACAUAUAUGAUCGAAACGAUGCACACAAGUGCACAAUAACUAAGAGCAAAAACCACAAGUAAUAUACGAGUGUAUAAAGAGAGGUAGUCUAACUAUUACAACUAUUCAAGAUUUACAUCAUUUGAUUACAUUUCCAUCUUCCAAAAUGUAAAUACAUAUUUUCUCCAAAAUACAUGUAGCUCUCUAAUGAUUAUCCAAAACAUCAUCUAGUACACGGAGUACUCUAAUGCAUAAAGGAAAGCUACUAACUAGGCUCACUUAGGGCGCUAUGCCCUUGCCGCGAUCCUCGCUCGGCUCACCUCUGUGUGUACCUGUACCCCAAAACCACACGGGGUGAGAACUAUAUAAAUAUAGUUCCCAGUGGGUUCGGUCGCCGACGCCGCCGGUUUUUCCACUAGGUCUAAGCUGGCACAGAUAGAGAGAUAGAUAGAUAUAUAGAAAGUGAACUGCAACUACUCUAUCAUGCCAUCAAUGAUAAUAAUGUAUGCAACAACUACUAUCAUGCUAGUAUCAUGUCAUGAGUAUAUAAGGAUGCAUAGUAAUGUAAUCUACAACAUACACUAUGUCUACUCAAGGUAAUAAUGCAAGUCUACUAUGCAUUUCAUGUUUAUUACCCAAUCUACUUGGUUUACCCGUAGGUUAACCCUCGACUCACUCUUAAUCUUAUAGGUGAGGAGAAGCUGCACUCGCACAUCGAGACCGUCUGCGAGAUAACUACGUCUGCCCCUAGUGAAGUACUCCGGAGACUAGUGCCUCGGUGGAGCGACCACCGACAAGCAAAACAGACUAGUGAGUAUGAUCUAAUUCUCACAGGAGGAUACCUUGUCUACUAGGGUCAAUGUGCCUCUGCUGCACAAUCAUGAUAUACAUAAUCAAUGUUGGGACCUCUACUAUCGCUAGGUUCAUGUCAAGUUUACUACACUAGACUCAAUGCCACUCAUUCGAUCAUUGUAGUAAGUUUUCUACUAGUUGACAUGCCACUCGUUCAAGUUUAGUGUCUCUACUAUACUAGUUCAAUGCCACUCUACCAGGCUAUGUCCAAGUUCGGCUCUUUAUGCCGCUAUAGGAUUCUAUGUCACAAGACCCAAUCCUCAUGCUAUCCUAGUCCACGUGUCAAGCUCACCCCGCUACACUACCAAGAAAGCAUGCAAGGAAAUGGAAUGUACAACUACUAUUCCUAUAGCACAAUAUGAUCAAUAUAAUUAACUUAGACAUAAAAAGAAACCCGGAUGUUUCGGGAUGACACCCCCCACCUUUUGUGUAUACGGAGGCUCUAGAAAUGCGCUUCGGCGUCCUUUACGACGGAGCCUCGGUCUUUUUGGUCCAAAUGAUGCUCAAU
rnacentral:lncRNA from 1 species